rnacentral:lncRNA from 1 species
AGACCCGGAUGAGUCCUAGUCCCCGCCACACACAGGUCGUGGGUUCUCCUUUGAGAGUGACCACUGGUUCCUAGAGCUUUUCCUAAACUGGAGACGGAUCCUGCCCUGGGGGUCUCAGUCACCGCGAGGACUCGAGGGUAACUGCCAGAGGUCCCAGGUGGCCCGAGGGCUAUUUUAAAAUAUUUUCUGUUUCCUUGAUUUCUCCUCCUUUGGAUGUAUUGGGCUUCCUGACUCUUUGAAGAAUCUAUCCAGUGUCUUUAAGAUAGCAAAACUAAGUGUCAAAAGCACCUUCUGCACACAGUCUGCACACACUGGCCGGUGGUCCUGUUCCCGCAAGGUUGAGCUGUGUUCCAGAGACAUGGGUCCUCCGGGUGAUGAGGAGCCGCUGGAGGGCCCUGAGCUGCACGUGCUAAUGAUUAACGCCCCGUCCGUGCUGGCCGGUUUCUCAAAUGCCUCCUGACGAUUGCGCACAGCCGGACAUCAUUUGUACUGAGAGACAAAAGGAAAUCACUGAGGCUUUCUGAGGUGAGCUGGGCGGCCGCGGGGGGACUGGACUCACACCUGCUAACGGCCAGUCCACAGGACCUGCCCAGAGGCUCGGACACACAGCUGAAGUCACAUCCCACGGGGAGCAUCCUCACCAACUGACAAUCAGCACGGGUUUGUAAUUAAGGGUUUCUGCCCAGCCAAUGAACGGCCUCCAGAAACAACCUUUGUGGAACCCCCUAUAAAAGCCUUCCCAGCGCUUGCCUUCAGGACACUGCUCAGGGCUGACUCAGUGUACCCAAGCUGCAGUCUUUGUUUCCCAAAUAAGCAGUCAUUCAUUCUACCUCCGUGUCAAUCUUUUCUUCGUGAACACAGCUGGUGUCAGGAGCAGGGCUUAGCAAGAUCUCUCCUUUGAGCGGCUUUCUCUGGAAUCGGGUGAAGUCCCCACAACACAGAGGCCCCUGUGCGCGCCCCUUCUUUGGGGCCAGCACCUCCCUUCAACUGAGGCUGAUACCUUUAUUUGGGAAUCUGGGGGCAGUUGCUGCCUCUGUGCCGGCAAAGGCUUUCAGCUUGGAGGACGUUUUCCCUGCUUACUGGAGAUUUUCCCAAUGGUGUCCAUGUCACUGUUCCUCUAGCAGAUGUGGAAAGUGGCUGCUCAGUGAGGACUCAGCCCCCACCAACCUGACUGAGGGUCACACGACACCAUGGUGGAAAGUCACAAAGGGUAACGGGCCAAGAGGGUGAGGGGGGCUCCCUGACCCUGAGGACCCCUGAGGCACUGCUGCACCUUCCACGGAUUCUGUGUCUAGCGUUGCCCUCUUUGCAGAUGCCCCUCGUGGUGGUGGCACAAAGACCUAAAAAUGAUUUCUGUAAAAUGGGUACAAGGAGCUCCCUGAUAAAGCAGCUCAUCCUAGACAGCCU